AGCCCAUGGUGCAGACAUCUUCUAAGUAAAUCCUUAAAUCUCUUAAGCUUCAUACAAGGAUUCACCAUCAAAUUGUGUAAAAGCAAUUAUAUCAUUCCUCAUCUU
rnacentral:snoRNA from 1 species